GCACAGGCCGCCAUAUAAAGGACAGCAAACGUUACGUUUUCACGGAAGAAAGUCUGUUGUGUUUAAAGUCCAAAUCACUGUGAUAUAAGUUACUUUUUAAGCUUUGUAAAAUGCCCAGCGACCUGACGGACACAGCGGGCUGAGUUUUUAAUUUGCCUGGGGGAAAAUGGAGGCGAGGUUCGGCGGCGAAGUGGCGGCGAUCGUGGAAGUCGCCAUCCAGGCAACCGUCUCUGUUUUCAGAGAUGUCUGGGCGAAAGAGGCGCCAAACACCAAAUGGGAAGAGGCGAAGCUCGGCGAAAUCCAGGAGAUAGAGAAGUGUCUGGUGGUUCAGAUCCAUAAGGUGUUCACGGAGUUCUCCUCGGAGCUGUUUGAGGAGAACGAGGCUCUGCGGGCCAAGGUGGAGCAGCUGGAGGAUGUGCUGCAUAGGAAAGCCGGGCAGCUCGAGCAGGAGCUGGAGGCCAGAGUGGUCCAGCUGGGCAGAGAGAUGGAGCAGCUGGAGAAAGAGCUGCAGGGCAUCAGUGAAGGCAGCAACAGGACACGAGGAGGCCCGACCCACAUCCUGGUGCAGGACGGCUCACUGAUAGGAGCGCCGGUUGUGUCGGUCUCCACCAGUCCUGCUGCCCCUCUGGUUGCUGCGAAGGAAUCCACCUCGAACCCUCUUCCGGUUUCAUCAGGAAGCGCUGAAGCCGUUCCCAGCUCCGCAGCUGGAUCUGUGGCUGUCCCUGAGGCUGCGAUAGCCCCGGUGAUGUUCGUGGGCAGAGGCCACUCAGCUCCCACGGUUCUGUUGCUGAGCGCCAGCCAAGUCGUCUACCAGCCUCCUGCGCCGUCGGCGGCCGUCUCUGAGACGACUGGGUCCACGCAGCUCGUUCUCAAACCAGCAGCCUCGCCGGAGUGGACGCCGCAAGACGUCCCCAGUCCAGACUCCAGCUCCGCCAGCGAUGUCGACUCUGCACAGGAAAAGGUUUGGUGUUUCUGUGCUGUGUUCUUUUUUUUUCGUUGGUUAAACUUGGUA
rnacentral:lncRNA from 1 species